UAUUGCAGCUGUCUCUCACAGACCUUAUUUGACCUCAGAAACUAAGCAGUGCUGGGCAUGGUUAGUCCUUGGAUGGGGAACUGCCUGGGAAUACCAGCUGCCAUAA
rnacentral:rRNA from 1 species